GACAUAGGUGGCAAACGUUAUCCGGAAUUAUUGGGCGUAAAGGGUGCGAUAGGUGGUUUAAUAAGUUACCGGUGGUAAAUCGGGGCCCAACCCUGUGGAAAGUUGGUAAUACUAUUAGACUAGAGGACCGGGAGAGGUUAACGGAAUGGUUGCGUGUAGGGGUAAAAUCCGUAAAUGAUGAAUUAGAACACCAAACGGCGAAGGCAGUUAACUAUUCGGUUCCUGACGUUGAGGCACGGAAAGCGUGGGUAGCAAGACGG
rnacentral:rRNA from 1 species